GUUAAGUCAGGCAACGAGCGAGACCCACGCCCACAGUUGCCAGCGUACUCUCUGGAGUGACGGGUACACUGUGGGACCGCCGCUGCUAAAGCGGAGGAAGGAAUGGGCAACGGUAGGUCAGUAUGCCCCGAAUAUCCCGGGCUACACGCGAGCUACAAUGGUUGGUACAAUGGGUAUCUACCCCGAAAGGGGACGGGAAUCUCCUAAAACCAAUCUUAGUUCGGAUUGAGGGCUGCAACUCGCCCUCAUGAAGCUGGAAUCCGUAGUAAUCGCGUUUCAACAGAACGCGGUGAAUACGUCCCUGCUCCUU
rnacentral:rRNA from 1 species